rnacentral:misc_RNA from 1 species
GAUGAAGAACGCAGCGAAAUGCGAUAAGUAAUGUGAAUUGCAGAAUUCAGUGAAUCAUCGAAUCUUUGAACGCACAUUGCGCCCGCCAGUAUUCUGGCGGGCAUGCCUGUCCGAGCGUCAUUUCAACCCUCGAACCCCUCCGGGGGGUCGGCGUUGGGGAUCGGCCCUUUACGGGGCCGGCCCCGAAAUACAGUGGCGGUCUCGCCGCAGCCUCUCCUGCGCAGUGGUUUGCACACUCGCAUCGGGAGCGCGGCGCGUCCACAGCCGUUAAACACCCCAAACUUCUGAAAUGUUGACCUCGGAUCAGGUAGGAAUACCCGCUGAACUUAAGCAUAUCAAUAAGCGGAGGA